CCCCUAGAAGAUGAAGAAUUAGUCGAGUACAUCCUCACCGGCCUAGGCGAAGAAUUCUCACCAAUUGUCUCCGCUCUAUGUGCUAGGGUGGAACCCAUCUCGGUUGGUGAACUCUAUUCUCAACUCCUCAAUUUUGAAA